GGGAGUUUGGCCGAGUGGUUUAAGGCGUCAGAUUUAGGUGUAACAGCUUGAAUUCUCUGAUAUCUUCGGAUGCGCGGGUUCGAAUCCCUCAGCUCUCA
rfam:Kazachstania naganishii CBS 8797 chromosome 4, complete genome